UUAUUGUUAUAGUGUGAAGUAGAGUUCAACUUUAUUUAUUCUUUUACAUGUGAAAAUUCAGUUAUAUCAGCACCAUUUGUGGCCCGUAUAUUCUUAACACAAGAUUUCAGAUGAAAGACUGCAGACCAGAAAAAUGAUUCAUCCAGCCCAGCUGGUCUUCACAUUUCACAUCAGAAUUAAGUUGCACCCACUGCAGAGCAAACUGUCAUGUCAUUGCUCCCUGGAGUGACAGAGGACAAAUAGGGAGAGUUUCCCUGGACAUAACAAAGGAGAAAAUAUGAUUUUUAAAAUUUAGCUGUGUUUACGCAUUUGGCUGGAUUUGACCCAAGAUUUGCAAGUUUGUAUGAGAGAGACUAUAUUGUGCCCAAAACCUUUAAUGACUGAAAGCUACUAAUAUUCAUCAAAAGGACACAUCAAAUGGUAACUAUCAUAUGGCAGUAGGUCAGUAGGCUUAUUACAAACAGGUGAAGCCUUCAGGCCCAUUAAAGUGGGGAGGAGCAUGAAUUUUCUUGUCUUAUCAACUUGAAUUUCACACUAAAUAACAUAAAGACUGUAA